rnacentral:lncRNA from 1 species
GGUGUUGCGCCUUGUAAUUAAUGCUGCCUGCCACACUGCUGGGAGUAUCCUUGCUUCUCUCUCCAUGUUUUCAGGAGAAACUUCUCAGUCGUUGGCAACUGCUCAGUCCCCAACGCCCGUGGGGAUGGGUUGCUCUGACUGCUUUUCAUCUUCUCCAUCAGUGGUCCUAUCUUGCUGCCAUUGUUUUCAUGGCAUCAAAGUGUAGCAGUGUCCUAGCAUACCAAGGAAUUUCUAAGCUGUAUGUGGAUGUACACAUUGUUGAGUAUAUUGGAAUAAACUCACCGAUUAGAUUUUUUUUUUUUAAACAAACCCAUUAGUGAAAUAUUUUACUUGGAAUCUCUAAAAACUGUUGUUCAAUCAUGUAAUUUUCUCCUUUGGCAGAUUUUCAAAGUUUUCAAAAUAUAGAUUGUUCUGUAAUUUUGGUCCCCAC